CCCACACCUCUAUUCUUGUUAAGGGAAUUUGUCUCCUCGGGUAGGCACUUACAAAAUGAGGAGGGAUAUAAAACACCCGAGCUCUGCCUGGUUCUGCUGAUGCAGUGAUCAAAUUUGAUGGAUGCUAUCUAAGCUCUUAUCCCUGCAAUUGCUCAGAACCACAGUAACUGCCUUUAGGAAAAUGAAUGUCUGCUCACUCUUCUCUGCCACUUUCACCUGAAACUCAGUGAAGUCAGGAGGAAAGCUUGUGCUGUCUUAUGGUUCCACUCCCACUAGGCUUGCAAUCCUACUGCAAGCCAAAUGCAAAUCAGGAAAUCUCACUGUGUUUUUCGAAUAGUGGUUCAUAGAGAUGUCUCUGCUGAGCCUACUUGUGAUAAUAAGGGCUGCAACAAAGCACAGUGCUUUGUGUGCGUGCACACGAAUACUUUUUCCUAAUUCAAAAUCAUUUGGAUUAGCCAAAAAUAACUCAAGGACAAAUAAUCUUUUCUCUGAGAUGGAACGUGUAAGGACUGAGAGGUAAAUUUCUCCUAACUGAGUCUGCUGUUCUGGCCCCAUGCUGACGGCACAGACAAGAUCCAGGCUCAGCCACUGUGACUACACAGGUCCCAGAAUGCCUUCUCAACCCCAGGUGCUUUACGGAGGUUUGCUAAUGACAUUCAGAGUGAAGGUAUCUGAGAGGAGCACUGAUUAUUAUCAUGUCAGCCACAGAACUUUGAUGCUGGGUGGAUGUCUCACAAAGAUGGGCUCUGAGUGUACAAGCAAAGCGGAAGAAGAAGUGACACCCCUGGGAAGAGACCAACCGCAUCUGAGGCACCGGGGAUCUGCAGCUGCAGUGAGAAUGAGGAAGGAACUUUCCAAAAGUGUUCUGCUGAAAUGCCCUCCCCACGUGGAAGCAGCGAGCACAGUCAGAGCCCUGGCUCAGGAGUCACAUGAAAAGUAAUGCGAGCGGAUGAGGGCAGGAUCAGCACAGCCCUUCUCCUUGCCUUUCACUUCUUGAAAUGAAUCCUUUCCAACCUUUAGGUCAAAUGCUGAAACUGAACCAUGGUUUUCAUGAAUCUUGCACUAUUUUUAUAACUGCAAAAAACGAUCAGGUCACGUUUCAGGCACAGUCAGCAGCUUCCUCUGUUUGUUUGCUGCUCUGAGGGCUCUGCGGUGCUUAUUUCCAAGACUAGAAAUCAGUUUGAAAUGCAGUUCUCAAACUUAUGCGUAAUCACUUCCAGCUUCUCAUAUGUGCUACCAUGACACAAAUCUCCCCGAGCUGCAUUUCUAAGGUUUAUAAAAUACAUUCAGCCCCAUCAGGCUACUUCAGGCCUUUUAAUUUCCUAGGCACAAUAGACUGAUAAGUAUUAAUAAUAAUACCUAGCACAAAGGGAACAAGGAGAGAAUGGAUAUUACAAUUCUGUGACAAUAGUCCAUUCCCCAUCUUUACAGAUGACAAAAAUGCAGAGAGAAUUAGUAAUUUUUUUCUAACAGAAGAUUAAAAAACUUCUGAUAGAUUGGAUCAACCACCAGAGAGAGAAGAGGGCACAGUCACUGUGCAAAGAUCUCCCCAACUCCAUGAAGAUAAUGUCACAGAAACUCCUGGGAAGGAGGGAACAUUGUGGGUAUAGGGAUGGCUUCAGAGAUUCAGACCUAACUCCAGCUUGGCAAAAGCCACUCAGCCAUGUUUCAUGUACCAGAGACUGAACAGAUGCCUGGCAGCAAGGUCAGUGCCAAAGAUGCAGAGAGGAAUGACAUGACAGAUGCAGGAUGGCAGAGCGUGGGCAGAUAAUGAGCAACAAACCAAGGGAAUAACAAUCUUUCUAUGUUCUGAACUACCUGUGCCUUCCCUGGGCCUCCUGACAGUUCCACCCACUGUGGCCAAUUGAAGGACAAGUCAAAGACAGUUCCAAAAAGGUAGCUUUCCCAGUAAUGGCAUCAGACUGUCCUUGUGCCUGUCC
ensembl:lncRNA